GGUCUAUUAUGUUUGCAGAGUUCCAUGUGCUUGAUCCAAAGUUCAACAUAGUCUCACCGGAGCAGACAUGACUAUCUGUUUCCCUUUUACUGAUGAAACCAAGAGACUUACAGCUUUACAUGGUUCCAUAGAAGAGAUGCUCUAUAACCCUUAGCAAACUAAUGAGCAUGUGUAAGUGUUGACUUACUUUUGUUUGGUUUUGAGAACUCAUACUAACUUCUUUUUUGUCAAAAAAGUAGUUUUGGUGGGUUUGUUUAUUUCAAUGGUACAUUGAGCUAUAUGUCGAAGCCAAUACUCUUCUCUAUGGCGAGGCUGGACAAAGUGAAGAACAUCUCGAGUUCAGAUUUUUUUUUGAUUAAUGUACAUCUCAGGUUGGGGCCAAGGAUCAGCAGAUAAUUCAAGCUAUCUAGAAGGCCGACGGCGGCCAAACUAUUUACAAAACAAUUUGGAGGAGAGGCGAAAGGGAAAAGGACAUUGCUUCCUUGUAUUACUAUCAACACCAGAGCUAAAGUAACUGCUUGGGUUACUAUCAACACCAGAGCUAAUAAGUGUAGACUUACUUAAAAGUAUUUUUCUGUAUUUUUAUUGUUUAAAGUAUACACUUGAGACAUAUUGUAAAGUUUUUGUGAUUAGUUUUACUCUUGAAACCUUGAGAAUUUUAUAUAGAUUUUCUUCUUCUCACAUGUGUGUUAGUUAUUGUUUUAGCUUAUGAUCGUUUUAACUGUUUGGUUGAUUAGACUAUCUUGUAAAAAAAACUAAUAAUAUCAUACAAGUGAAACACACCAAUAAAAUGAAUACAACGUCUAUAGAUUAUGCAUCAAAUAAUUAUUUAUCAAUGAAUAUUUUAUAAUGAUAAAUUACUAUAAAGCGAAGAAAAUAGAAAACAUCUAGAGUGUAUUUGAUUAUUCAUAAUCUCGAUGCCUCAAAUGAAGUAUUAGCGAAGAGUAUCUGCAACAUAAAAUUAAAUUAUGAGAAAAACAUAAGAUAAGUAAAUUAAAUUACAUUUUAGUAGACUUCUUAUGAAGUCUGCGUAAAGUUUAUAGUUUAGUAGAAUUUAGUUGAAGUAUACUAGCCUUAAUUUUUAAGUAGACUUCAUUAGAAGUCUACACUAACGGAAAAUUUUCAGAUCUAAAAAUGUACAUCUAGAAAAUUUGAAAAUAGUUUGUUCUGGAAAAUAUUUGGAAAUAUUUUUUUUUAACCUAAUAGCAAAGCAAAAACAUAGAGUUUGAAUCUAUGAAUUUAGUUCAAUAUAAUAAACAAAAAUACAGAUUUAAAAUGAAUAGAUGUAAAUCUUACACUUUUUGGGAAGAUGAUUUGAAAACUUGUGAAGAGAAAACCUACAAAAUAAGAUAAAAUUAUGAGAAAAGUAUAAGAUAAAAAUUAAAAUUAUAUUUGAGUGCUUAAAAGUGAGGGCUACUAGAAUUCACUUGAAGUUUACUAGCCGUAACUUUUAAGUAGACUUCAUUUGAAGUCUCCUCUAUCAGAAAAGUUUUAGAUCUGAAAAUAUACAAAUUAAAAAACAUGAAAAUAAAUUAAAAUGUAAAAACCUUAGAAAAUAUAAUAUAUAUGACAAAAAUAAUAAUAAAAUAAAUACUUAGAGUUUGAAUAUGUAACUUUAUUUAAAUAUAAAUACAAAAAACAUGCUUAAAAUCUAUAGAUGAAAAUCUUACAUUUUGGAGAGGAGGAAAUAAAAAAAUGGAAAAAAAUACCUGAAAAAUAAGAUAAAAUUAUUAAAAAACAUA